rnacentral:tRNA from 1 species
GCGGAGAUGAAUGAUAAAUGAUAUCAAGAGCUUGUCGGGUAAGUUCUUGAAUUUUAUAGAUUUUCAAAAAACCACCGGGCUAGGCUCAUAACCUGAAGGUCGUAGGUUCAAAUCCUACUCCCGCG